GCCAGGCUUAGCGACUCAUUCUCCCCUGGAUUUCCUGUCUCUCUCCCUUGCCAAACCUCACUUCUGAAAAGCAGGCUUCACCUUCUAUGAGUCAGCACUGGAGACCAAACCCAGAACAGGCUAGCACUGAGUGCUGUCACUGAACAGUGGUCCCAAGCAGCAUGGUUUUUCAACAACUAACAUCACAGGGGCUGAAAUUUGGAGAACUGAACUGCUGAUAUAUUUGUGAAGUGUUUGCCAGUGGAUCCAGCUGCUGCUGCUAACAUCUGUGAACUAAACUGCCAAUUUCCAUACAACAUGGAUGGGAGUUGCUUCUAAAAAACCUGUCUAAACUGGUUCAUG